AUUGAACGCUGGCGGCAUGCUUUACACAUGCAAGUCGAACGGUAACAGGUCUUCGGAUGCUGACGAGUGGCAAACGGGUGAGUAAUACAUCGGAACGUGCCCGAUCGUGGGGGAUAACGGAGCGAAAGCUUUGCUAAUACCGCAUACGAUCUACGGAUGAAAGCAGGGGACCGCAAGGCCUUGCGCGGACGGAGCGGCCGAUGGCAGAUUAGGUAGUUGGUGGGAUAAAAGCUUACCAAGCCGACGAUCUGUAGCUGGUCUGAGAGGACGACCAGCCACACUGGGACGGAGACACGGCCCAGACUCCUACGGGAGGCAGCAGUGGGGAAUUUUGGACAAUGGGCGAAAGCCUGAUCCAGCCAUGCCGCGUGCAGGAUGAAGGCCUUCGGGUUGUAAACUGCUUUUGUACGGAACGAAAAGCCUCUUUCUAAUAAAGAGAGGUCAUGACGGUACCGUAAGAAUAAGCACCGGCUAACUACGUGCCAGCAGCCGCCGUAAUAC
rnacentral:rRNA from 1 species